UUCCGUUCUGCGCCAGUCGCUCCCGUGUCAUGAGCGACGCAACCUGGGAGUUGUAGUUUUUAGAGUGCAGCUGUCUCGGUUUGCAGAGAAAUGAUCCAGGAGCCCUAGCCGGACAAGAAUAUGGCGGAAGUCGACCUGAGCGGCCUGGACAUCCUUCUAAGGAGAUGUGAAUACUCCUCAUAUAUCUGCCUUCUGCAUCGCUGGCUGUGAGUAGGAGUACCAAAGAAAACAAAGUCAUGCGUCAGUCUACUGUCCUCAUGGGAUGGAAAGAGAGCGAGAGCAUCGAGACUCUGAGCAUUGUUGAUGUCACGCAAAAGCCAUCCAUCUGGGAGCUGAGGAGACUCCGCUGUCAGUGAGAUAAGUGUCUGGUUUCAUGAGGGCUCUGCUCACGCCCAACCUGAGUCCAGGUAGGAAAGGCCAGUACGGUAGGGCUGGGCUUUUAUGAAAAGGUUCCUGACUAGCUGUGGUUACGAGGGACAAAAGGUCUCUAUUUUGAGAGGUUGCUCACUUCUCUGGUCAGGAACGGUGUCUCCUCCGCAGCACAAGGUUGCAUCCAGGAGGAUGAUUCCAGGUGGUGAGUGCUUGCUUUCCUCCAAUGUUUUCCUUUCUCUAUCUCUCUCUCUUCUCUAGUACAUUGGCCAACACGCACCCUCUAGCUCUCUCUGUCUGUCCUUGCCUUUCCUCGUGUUGUCUCCCUUCGUAAGACAUGGGCAGGCGUGCUACGUGUGCAUCCCCACAGGCUUUCUCUCGGGAGCCAUGGAGAAGUAGGAGGGGACAAAAAUCAUGCAGGGCAGUGGGUGCGAGAGUGGAGCGGUGACUGCUGGUGUUAACUCAGUCUCUGUUCAUCGAGUGGGGCUGAUGUAGAUGGGAUUGGAGAGGGAGGCCAGGAUGAGGGCAAGAUUUGAAACAACAAAUAGAGCUUUAAGUAGUGAUGGCUCAUGCUUGGCUUUUGCAGCUUCGCUUCCAGAGGAAUUUUCCAAGAGCCCUAGCCCGAGGAGAAAGUGGCAGAAGUGGACAUGAGCAGACUGGACAUCCUUGUCAGCAGAUAUGAACAGUUCUCAGCUUUCUGACUCCCGCAUAACUGGCUGACUGAGGGAAAAGAAGUCACGCCUCAGAGUCUCAAGACCUCAUGCGAUGGAAAGCCAGCCAGAGCAACGAAACGGCGAGCAUUGUAGAUGCCAGGGAAGAGUCGUCUAUCUGGGAUGCGAGCACACGCCACUCUCCGUGAGAUAAGUGUCUGGUUUGGUGAUUGCUGUGCUCAUGGCCCACCUUGCUCCUGCUAGGGACGCCACGUUAGCUGGGGCUGGGUUUGUAAGAAAUGGUUCCUGACCAGCUGUGCUUACGAGAGAGACAAGGUCCCCAUUUUCAGGGUCUGCUCAUUUCUCUGGCCAGGAGCGGUGUCUCCUGCGCAGUGGAAGGUUGCAUCUAGGAGGAUGACUCCAGGUGGUGAAUUGCUUGCCUCCCUCCCAUAUCUGUCUCUCUCUCUUCUCUAGUGUGUUGGCCAACUUUCUCACUGUCUCUCCUCUCCUCUCCUGUCCUCUCCUUGUGCCGUCUCCCUUUGUAGGACACGGGCAGGCGUGCUAGGUGUGCAUCCCCAGAGGCCAGAUUUCGGGAGUCGCAGACGAAAAUCAUGCGGGGCAGUGGGUGCGAGAGUGGAGCGGUGACUGUCGGUGUUAACUCGGUCUCUGCUCGUUGAGCGAGGCCGAUGUAGAUGGGACUGGAGAGGGAGGCAGGGCUGAGAGCAAGAUUUCCAGCACCAAUAGAGCUCUGUGUAGUGAUGGUUCUUUCUUGGCUUUCUUAGUUUGCGGAGGAAUCGUCCAGGAGCCCUAGCCGGACAAGAAUAUUGCAGAAGUGGACCUGAGUAGUCAGGACAUCCUUCUAAGGAGACAUAUAGUCCUCAUGUUUCUGCCUUCUGCAUUGCUGGCUGUGAGUAAGAGGUCAGUGCUUCGAAUUUCUCAUCUGUACUCGCUGUAGUUUUCUUCACAGGCCGUGUGCUUCCUCGUUGGGUACGAGGCUCUGGGAUUAAGGCUGGGCAAGGGACAAGAGUCUCCUGAGGAAAGUUUAGUACCAAGGAAAAUGAAGUCACACAUCAGUCUAUUGUCCUCAUGCGAUGGAAAGUGAGCCAGAGCAUCGAGACUCUGAGCAUUGUUGAUGCCACGCAAAAGCCGUCCAUCUGGGAGCCGAGGAGACGCCGCUGUCAGUGAGAUAAGUGUCUGGUUUGGUGAGGGCUCUGCUCACACCCAACCUGAGUCCAGGUUGGGAAGCCCACUAAGUUAGGGCUGGGUUUGUAUGAAAAGGUUCCUGACUAGCUGUCAUUACGAGAGGGAAAAGGUCCCUAUUUUCAGAGGUUGCUAAUUUCUCUGGUCAGGAACGGUGUCUCCUCUGCAGCAGAAGGUUGGAUUCAGGAGGGUGACUCCAGGUGGUCAGUUGCUUGCUGUCCUCCCAUUUUUCUCUCUCUCUCUCCUCUUGUGUGUUGGCCAACUUUCUCACUCUUUCCUCUCCUGUUCUCGUGCCGUCUCCCUUCGUCGGACACGGGCAUGCGUGCUAGGUGUGCAUACCUACAGGCCAGGUCUUGGGAGCCAUGGAGAAGUAGGAGGGGAUGAAAACCAUGCGGGGCAGUGGGCACUAAAGUGGAGCUGUGACUGUCUGUGUUUACUCAGUCUCUGUUCAUCGAGUGGGGCUGAUGUAGAUGGGACUGGAGAGGGAGGCAGGGAUGAGGGCAAGACUCGACGCCCCAAUAGAGCUCUGUGUAGUGAUAGUUCUUGCUUGGCUUUAUUAGUUUGCGGAGGAAUCGUCCAGGAGCCCUAGCCGGACAAGAAUAUGGCAGAAGUGGACCUGAGCAGUCUGGACAUCCUUCUAAGGAGACAUGAAUAGUCCUCAUGUUUCUGCCUUCUGCAUCGCUGGCUGUGAGUAAGAGGUUUAGAACCAAGGAAAACGAAGUCACCCGUCAGUCUACUGCCCUCAUGAUGGAAAGCGAGCGAGAGCGUUGAGACUCUGAGCAUUGUUGAUGCCACGCAAAAGCCAUCCAUCUGGGAGCCGAGGAGAUGCUGCUGUCAGUGAGAUAAGUGUCUUGUUUCAUGAGGGCUCUGCUCAUGCCCAACCUGAGUCCAGGUAGGGAAGCCCACUAAGUUGGGGCUGGGUUUGUAUGAAAAGGUUCCUGACUAACUGUGGU